rnacentral:rRNA from 1 species
AACGAACGCUGGCGGCAUGCCUAACACAUGCAAGUCGAACGAAGCCUUCGGGCUUAGUGGCGCACGGGUGCGUAACGCGUGGGAAUCUGCCCUUGGGUUCGGAAUAACAGUUAGAAAUGACUGCUAAUACCGGAUGAUGUCUUCGGACCAAAGAUUUAUCGCCCAAGGAUGAGCCCGCGUCGGAUUAGCUAGUUGGUGAGGUAAAGGCUCACCAAGGCGACGAUCCGUAGCUGGUCUGAGAGGAUGAUCAGCCACACUGGGACUGAGACACGGCCCAGACUCCUACGGGAGGCAGCAGUGGGGAAUAUUGGACAAUGGGCGAAAGCCUGAUCCAGCAAUGCCGCGUGAGUGAUGAAGGCCUUAGGGUUGUAAAGCUCUUUUACCCGGGAUGAUAAUGACAGUACCGGGAGAAUAAGCCCCGGCUAACUCCGUGCCAGCAGCCGCAGUAAUAC